rnacentral:tRNA from 1 species
AGGGAUUUAGCUCAGUGGUACAGCUCCUGCCUGGCAAGUGUGAGGUCCUGAGUUCAAUUCCUGGUACCCCUA